rnacentral:rRNA from 1 species
AGUGAACGCUGGCGGUAGGCCUAACACAUGCAAGUCGAACGGCAGCACAGUAAGAGCUUGCUCUUACGGGUGGCGAGUGGCGGACGGGUGAGGAAUACAUCGGAAUCUACUUUUUCGUGGGGGAUAACGUAGGGAAACUUACGCUAAUACCGCAUACGACCUACGGGUGAAAGCAGGGGAUCUUCGGACCUUGCGCGAUUGAAUGAGCCGAUGUCGGAUUAGCUAGUUGGCGGGGUAAAGGCCCACCAAGGCGACGAUCCGUAGCUGGUCUGAGAGGAUGAUCAGCCACACUGGAACUGGGACACGGUCCAGACUCCUACGGGAGGCAGCAGUGGGGAAUAUUGGACAAUGGGCGCAAGCCUGAUCCAGCCAUACCGCGUGGGUGAAGAAGGCCUUCGGGUUGUAAAGCCCUUUUGUUGGGAAAGAAAAGCAGCAGGUUAAUACCCCGCUGUUCUGACGGUACCCAAAGAUUAAGCACCGGCUAACUUCGUG